AUAAGUAGAGAAAAAUAAAAUAAAAUUAAGAAACAAUACUAAACUUAUUUGCAUCAUUCUAAAAAGCAAAAAAAUAGCCCUGACGUGAUAUACAAGCGAACAUGCCGAAUCUUUAACGAGCCAAACUCAAACAAGAAUUUAAAAAUAUCUAUAUUAAACAUUAAAAUUAUAGGGGCGCCCCAGUUUCUCUACUUGAUAAACAAGAAGUGUUUCUCUAGUGACAAAUGUGUAAUAAAAACGCCUAGGGAAUUGUAAACAAAUGGUUUUUAAGCUGAAUAAAUGCUGACUGUGAGUUCCAUUGAGGAAGUCACGUGGACUACUGAAGAAGUCGUUACAUGGUGUAACGUUAGCGGCGUUCCAUUUCAGCUUGCCUCCACCUCCACCAACAACAAACACCUCCACCAUCACCUUCCUCUUUCGUCCCCACCGUCACCUCAUCAUCUUCCUCUUUCGUCCCCACCGUCACCCCAUCAUCUUCCUCUUUCGUCCCCACCGUCACCCCAUCAUCUUCCUCUUUCGUCUACACCGGGGACAACCACCAUUAUCGGCGGCGAACAUAAGCGGCUUCGCCGCCAAAAUCAAACGAAAAAACCAAUAAGAAAGGGUAAAAUUUAUGGCAUGGUUAACCCCAAAGGGUAAGGGUUACCUUCCUCCAUUGACGCUGUCAUCGAACUUGAAUAAUUCCUCCAUUGAAGCUGUCAUCGAGUUCGAAUUCCUCCUUUUAGACUCAAUUCCCUCCAUUGAAGCUUAUUCAGUAAUUCAGUAAAGUAAUUCAGAGAAUGGUUUUGGGAUGCUGUUCUGAACAAUGAAGCUGUGCGAGAGAUUAGGGCUUCUUAUCGUGAUGUUUUCUAUGGUAUGUGCAACUUCUGAAUCGAUUCCUCCGAGCUCUGUGGAGAAAUCUGGCUCCUCUAAAGAAAAUUUUAAAAUAUUGAAGUGGAUGUUUGAAAAUGUGAAGAUGAAAUUGUUGGAUAUUCUAGAGGAUAUUUCACAGUUUUUGGGCGAAUUAUUCAAACCUCUUGAUUGUGAGAUAGAAGGAGAGUCUUAUGCUUUCACAGAGAAGCUCAAGUCAACAUUCUUGAUCACGGUGGCAGUGUUGUUGAUAGUGGUAGUUGCUCGCGGACACAUGACUUGAUCAAUUAAUAUUCGUCGACAUUACUCAAUAUGCAUUUUCUGGGAACACUAUGUAUUGGACUUGGUUUUUUGAAUGUUUGGCAUUUAGUUUUGAUGAAUCUUGUAUCAAUUAUACUCCGUAUUGUUUAUGUUUUUGUACCUUUAAAUUGAUAA